rnacentral:tRNA from 1 species
GCCGCCAUAGCUCAGCUGGUUAGAGCGCUUGAUUGUGGAUCAAGAGGUCCCCCGUUCGAACCGGGGUGGUGGUACCA